GGAGUUGGCAACAGAAGAAGAUUUUCAAACAGACACUCAGGAGGAGCAAAGACUAAGGCUGUUUUUUUUUGGAUACCACUGGAACCAGAAGCACUGUCCGGUCUGCCACCACAUCUUCAUCAUCUUCAUCCACCACCACCAAGAGAACCCUCACAUCGGACGUCACAGUGCGCCUUGACUUUGGUUGUGCACAGAAGGGUGGGUCGGAACACGACACCACAAUGCCCAUCCGGUCCCGGGACCAGAAUCAUGGGGGCCUGGAUGAGGGAGCCGUCCAUACUGUCCAUAUCAGGGUUUGACCAUUGGCAGGCCAGGGGCUUUGGGGUGGAUUGGGCUAUGGGGUAAUGCGAGAAGGGGUUGGUCGGGGACAUUGGUGUUGCUGGACCGCCCUGGUUCUGGAGUCUGGUGACGCUGCGCGUCUGGUAUGGAGGUGGCGGUGGUCCCGCUUGUUGAGCUGGUUGAGGUGGGGGAGUUUGGUAGCAUGUGUUCAGGA
ensembl:lncRNA